UAAACUAGGAUUAGAUACCCUAUUAUUUUAAAUGUAAAUUUUAAAUACUAAAUUAGUAUUAGAUAUGUUCUUGAAAAUUAAAAAAUUUGGCGGUAUUUUAGUCUUUUCAGAGGAACUUGCCCUGUAAUUGAUAGUCCACGAUUAUAUUUACUUUAUUUAUUAGUUUACAUAUCGUCGUAGUUUGAAUAUUUUAAUAGAAAUUUAAUAUUCAUAAUUUUUUAUUAAAAAAUAAAUCAGAUCAAGGUGUAGUUUAUAAUAAAGAAGAGGUGAGUUACAUUAAAUUUAUUUAAGGAUAAUUUUUUUAAAAAAAAUUUGAAUGUGGAUUUGAUAGUAAUUUUUAUUAUAUUUAUUUAAAAUGAUUAUAGCUCUAAAAUAUGCACACAUCGCCCGUCGCUCUUAA
rnacentral:rRNA from 1 species